rnacentral:rRNA from 1 species
GACGAACGCUGGCGGCGUGCUUAACACAUGCAAGUCGAACGAAGUGGCGAACGGGUGAGUAACGCGUAAUCAACCUGCCCUUCAGAGGGGGACAACAGUUGGAAACGACUGCUAAUACCGCAUACUGAAGGAGGGGAAUGCGGCGGAUUAGCUAGUUGGGGGGGUAACGGCCAACCAAGGCGAUGAUCAGUAGCCGGUCUGGAGGGAUUGACGGCCCCAUUGGGACGUAGACACGGCCCAGACUCCUACGGGAUGCAGCAGUGGGGAAUCUUCCGCAAUGGACGAAAGUCUGACUGAGCAACGCCGCGUGAGUGAUGACGGCCUUCGGGUUGUAAAGCUCUGUUAAGCGGGACGCGGUACCGGAAUAGAAAGCCACGGCUAACUACGUGCCAGCAGCCGCGGUAAUUC